UGGGAAUUUUGGACAAUGGGCGAAAGCCUGAUCCAGCAAUGCCGCGUGUGUGAAGAAGGCCUUCGGGUUGUAAAGCACUUUUGUCCGGAAAGAAAUCCUUGGCUCUAAUACAGUCGGGGGAUGACGGUACCGGAAGAAUAAGCACCGGCUAACUACGUGCCAGCAGCCGCGGUAAUACGUAGGGUGCAAGCGUUAAUCGGAAUUACUGGGCGUAAAGCGUGCGCAGGCGGUUUGCUAAGACCGAUGUGAAAUCCCCGGGCUCAACCUGGGAACUGCAUUGGUGACUGGCAGGCUAGAGUAUGGCAGAGGGGGGUAGAAUUCCACGUGUAGCAGUGAAAUGCGUAGAGAUGUGGAGGAAUACCGAUGGCGAAGGCAGCCCCCUGGGCCAAUACUGACGCUCAUGCACGAAAAGCGUGGGGAGCAAAACAGGAUUAGAUACCCCUGGGUAGUCCACGCCCCUAAAACGAUGUCAACUAGUUGUUGGGGAUUCAUUUCCUUAGUAACUAGCUAACGCGUGAAAGUUGACCGCCUGGGGAGUAGGUCGCAAGAUUAAAACUCAAAUGAAUUGNCGGGG
rnacentral:rRNA from 1 species